UACGAAGGGGGCUAGCGUUGCUCGGAAUCACUGGGCGUAAAGCGCACGUAGGCGGCUUGUUAAGUCAGGGGUGAAAUCCUGGAGCUCAACUCCAGAACUGCCUUUGAUACUGGCGAGCUUGAGUUCGGGAGAGGUGAGUGGAACUGCGAGUGUAGAGGUGAAAUUCGUAGAUAUUCGCAAGAACACCAGUGGCGAAGGCGGCUCACUGGCCCGAUACUGACGCUGAGACGCGAAAGCGUGGGGAGCAAACAGG
rnacentral:rRNA from 1 species